rnacentral:lncRNA from 1 species
GCUGUUUAUAGGGAAUAAUUUUUCUUAAUAGAAUAGCAGCUGGUGCAACUCUAAGAACAUGUCAAAUCUAGGAAUUCUUUUUUCCUUUUUCAAUAAUGAGUGGUUUGCUUUCAUAGCACUGCUCUGAAGUGUGAUGCUGAAGGCUUAUUUCUGCAUAAAUCUGCAGUGUUUUUAUAGCUGUAGUGUACCUAAGCACCAAUUUAGCUUAGCAAAUUAACUUAGAUGCUUCAAAAUUGAAAACCAGUAUAUUCUAAUGUAGUUUGAGUUUAAGUCUUUAUUAGUAAGGAUGCACUUAACAUUUGUUCAGGAGAAGAGAAUAUAAUUUUCUCCUGCAGUUGUCAUUUACGUAAUCCAUUUUUCUAGUCUUUUCUCAGGCUAAUGAUAUUCCAUACCUUGAUACAGCUUUUAUUUGUUUAUUUGCCAUAAUAUGGAGUGAUACCUUCGAGAAAAUUAGAUAUUUGAAUCUAAUAUCCCAAAAGUAUUACUUAGUUUUCUGUGUUUCCUUAAACAGAAUCAUUUCCAUUUUCGGUGCAGGUGUUAAGUGUGAUGCUUCCAUAAUACAUUUGGAUGCUGUCAGCUAAGUUCACUUCUGAACUAAGGGGUUCCUCCAAAUGUUGGCUGAAAUUCAUCCCAAGGCUGGUCUGCAAGUGAGUGUCUGCACACAGUUUGCUUGUAUGUGGAGUCGAUCCAAAAUAGCAUCAAUGUUGGUUUUACCAAAGUAUUUAUUAUUGAUAAUAGAGGCUAAGUACAAAAUGUAGAGAAUGUCAGCUACUUGAGGCCUUUGAUUAUUAAAAAUUUUAUUAAUGCAUUAAACAAGAGUACAGUAAAUAGAUAAAUUUUAGGUUCAUGAAAUAAAACUGAAUAAUUUAUUUUUACUUACUAUUUAUCAUGGAAUUACUUUGAAUAAUUUAUUUUUAAUGGUAUAAUUGGACAGUAAAAUUUAUAAACUCAGUGCUUUUCAUAAAAAUCAAAGUGAAGUUUGUAAUAUUUUAUACAAAUAGAAUUAUUAUUUAAGAGAAAUAACCUGUUUAUGCCUAAUUACAGUUUUUAAUCAUUUCAGUUACCUAUUUCUUUUAAGAAUAAAUUUAGUGGGAAUAUCAGUUCCAGUCAUGGGUACCAAACUUUUUUAGUGACAGAGUACACACAGGUAUGUAAAACUUGUCAUUUCUCAUCAAAUAGAGGCUGCUGAAUAUAGGCAGGUAAGAAAAGCUAUGAGAAAGAAUUGUUUUGCAGAAUAUUUGUCUAGUUGUCAGAGCAAGGAACUGAAUUUAUUGACACAGAACAUUUUAUUAAGUAAAAAAAAUGGUUCUUAUAACAAAAAAAAAAGCUAAUUUUACAGAAGGCAGUAGUUAAUAUAGCCGCCAAUAAAAUAAAUGUUUCUCUGAAUACUUUCCGAGGCAUUACAGUGAUUUUUAACUAAUAUGAAGUGAUAUAUAAUAAUUUUAAAGUAACAUCCUUGAGUUUUCCUAUUAUUAAUUGCUUAUGGAAAUUGGGUUUCACGUAUGACUGAGAGCUAAAGCAUUACAGUGAGUUAGAAAACACAACACAAAUGUAAAGAAAAUGUUAGGUGGUGAGUAAUCUGAUUCCUUUUUGUUUGCCUUUAAGCUUAGUUUUUUGUUUUGUUUUACUUUGUUUUAAACCAUGUAUAAAAUUGUUGAAUUUAAAAGAUAAGAGGAUUAAGUAAUUUCUUUUUUCCUCCUAAGGAUAAAUGUAGGAAAAAUCUAAACACAUAGGCAGAUUGGUUGAGUUUUAUAUCUGUUAUCGGCCACAUUUAUUAAGAUUCAUAUUUCAUGUAUAUUAGAGGUAUUCACAUGUAUUAAAAUUCUUAUAUUCCUUCUAUAUAAAAUAGAUGUAGGGGGUUCCCACUCUUGAAAAUAUGAAGAAAAGAUGUCCUUUCAGCAAUAAUGGGUUAUGGUUGAUUAACUGAGAAGGUUGUAUUAAACGUUCUCUAGUAGAAAUGGCUAAAGAGCAUGCUUUUUGAGAAGUGUAUCAUCUAGGAAGAAAAUCAAAUGGAGUAUUGGUAAUUAAAUUGUAAUUCCAUGAAGGAAGGAAGUGGUGCAAAAGAUGAAGCUAACUAUUCCUGUUUUUCUUUUUAAGAGUCUGCAAUUCAUAAUGGAGCUACUGUACUGGCUAUUGGAAGGAGGAGAUUCUGAAGAUAAGGAGGUAAUAUUAUCUCUUUUAAAAGAAUACUUUCCUCUGUAAUCCUGAAUCUUUAUUACAUGUAAGAACUUUGUGCAGUAGACAGCAAUUUCUUUGAAUUUGGUAUAUGGAAACAAUUUUAUUUUCCUCUGCUAAGUUUUUGAGCCUGCCUCUUCUAGUGCCAUGGACUGCAUUGGUAGAGCUGAGAAAUAUCAUUUAGCCAUACUCAGCACCCUUAAAAUAGCUUCUUUCUGAGAAUUAGAUCUGUGAAGGUGUCCUGCACAGUUCUUGUAGAUGUCAUUUUAGUUUGUGGUUGACGUGCAUGCAUUUAGCAUGUUGCUUAACCGUCCUCAUUCGCCUCCCAGUUCUUUGUUGCCUUCAUUUGGGGGGAUGUGUUUUCUGCUGGAUGAUUUACUGCUAGACAUGACCAAACUCUGAGUAUAAGACUUGGUGUUUGGCAGCUGGUUCCAGUGCUCUGCUGAGAAGUAGUUGGGCCCAGCCUGGGGCAUUGUAGUGUCCUGGAGGCCGGGAGCUCCUGCACAGGGGUUCUUUUCCUGGUUCAGAGCCUUAGGUGCCUUUCCACUUUUCACGUAAUCUUUUCCUAGGUUGGCUUGCUGCUUACUUUGCAGCUGUUGCAGGGAUUCACAUGGAAUGGAGGGCUCCCUUUUAUUGUGGAUUAUUUCUUUGAUAAUUUACCCAUGUGCUUUUUCAUUUUCAAAAACCCAGUGGUGUUUAAGAAUGAAAGAUUCUUGAAGAACAAAAAUUGGGUUAAAUUUGUAUCUAUCAGAAAAGAUUCUAUCCUCUGAUGCUAUGUAGGCACAUUGAAUAUGCAGGCUAAAUUAAAAACAGAGUAAAACCUUUUUAUAAUAUGCCAAUUACUAUAUCUAAGAAUGUUUAUACAGGCUGAAAUUUUGUAAUGGUAUUUAUAUCUGUUUUCCUUUUUAAGGAAAAUAAUAUACUUUUCUAGGCAUCAAAAAUAUCUGCCCCUUUCACUAAUGCUGAUGUACCACCUUCCCCCAACCCCCAACGCUAAAUUUGACUGGCUUAAAAACAUCUGCCCCCUGAACUAUAUCUGGGGAGGAAUAUUAAUAAAACAAUGAAGGACUUCAUGGUGUCUAGUUAUAUAAUUAGGAAAUUGGUUAGAAACGUGGCUAAAACCAGUUUCUUUCAUUAAAAGAACUAGUGUACAUUUAAAAACAAAAACCUUCAGGAAAAAGACUCUUUGAUCUUUAAGUCAAAUAGUAUUUUUGGUUAACACAGCAGGAAGGGGAAAUAUACCAAUUUCAGAUUCUUUUAUUUAUGCCUAAGUAGAGGUUGUAAGCAGCUAAGGAAGUGAUUAAAAUGUAGUCUAGUAAAAAAUGGUGCUGAUUACUUGGAAAGCAGUUUACAUUUGCAAAAAAAUUCAGUAUUAUGACCUUCACCAACUUUUACACAUCAUAUACUUGGGUUAUUACUUAUGGUAUAGCUUGUGUAUGGAAUGCAAGGGUAUUUUCAAAUUGACUAGGUCUUGCUGGUCAUCUUAAAAUAUGUUACAAUAUUACAAAAUUGAAAUGUAAUAUUUUUUAAUAGAAGGAAAAUAUAAAUUUAAUAUCUGGGCAAUUGAGACCUUUAAACUUACUUUAAAAGUAUGAUCUUGAUGUAUAUGAUACUGUUUUGUCUUUGCUAUAUUAACAGAAUUAGAGGGGUGUUCUGCAAUUCAAAUACCUUAUAUAUUCCAAAUUUUAUUCUCUAUAAUGGACUUUUAAAAUAAAAGGUAUAUGUGCUUCAAGAGGGCAAAAUUUGAAUCAUGAGCUAAUUUGCUAAGCAUCAGAUUAUAGAAAAGCAUCCUUGAUUAAUUUGGAACUGUGAAAGGGGGCGGGUAAAACUGUUUUCUGCAGAAAUUUACUAGUGCAGCAACCAUUUAAAUUAAAUGUUUGUUAACAUAAUAGUGAUGGCAUUUUCUCCUCCCCCUCCUUGUGGUUUUGUCCAACUAGAUGUUACAGUGGCAGUUGCACUGACUGUUAAGUGUUUAAAUGAUGACACCAUUAUGUGAAGUGAUUUUGAAAUGAGAGAUUCCAGCCAAGAAUUACAUCUGCUCCCAUCUCCUUCAAAUCAUACUCUCUGGCAGUACAGAUUAUGAUUGAUUUGUUUGUGACAGAUUGCAGGAAACAGUCAUUGAUUUUUCAAUAUUUUACCUUAAAAUUAUUUACAGUUGUAACCAUGGGGAGGUAUUUUCAUGGGCUGUCAGCCCCUGAAAGACUAGGAUAAUAUUCCCUGCUCUCUGACAAGACAAAUUACCUGUAAUGAGUGCAGUAGCUGAAGGGUAUACUUUUAUUUUAAAAUAUGUCAAUAACCCCAGUGACUAAACGAAUAUUGAUUUAGCAUAAUGAAGCCUGAGUAACGUGAAAAUGAGCUUUUUCAAGGGGCAUGGUAAAGUCUUUCUUUUUAGCUGGUUGUAAGAAGCUUUUGAUUCUUUUCAGCCAGCUGGUAGGAAUAUAGAAUUUUAUAAGCAAACCAUCAGGAAUGAUAGUGUUGUUUCUGAUAAGCAACAUCCAAAUAUUUUGACCCUGCUUUUAGUGGUUUUUUUCAAAUCUUAUUUUGAGUCUUACUUUUAGUCAUAGAAUAGCUACUGAUUUGAUGCGGUCUUUAACUGACUUAAUAUUUUUACAAUUUCAAUAUAUUUUGCAUUGGAAUCUCCAGUAAUGAAUAUUAAAAUAUAUGUACAAUCAUUUGUAGAUGAUAUCAAUUAUAUUAAGACAUUUCAGAUGGGCUAUUGUAGUAUUUAAUGUGCCGUAUUUUAUGGUAGAAUAAUUCUCAGUCUCUGGACAUCAAGAUUGCUUUCAGUGGGAAUGAAGAUUAAUUUACUUCAGUCCUGAUUUUUUAGGCAUCAAUGCAUGUUUUCAUUUUUGUCAGACUUUUACCCUCUUUUAAUGUAAUUCUCAACUUCUUAUGGAUUUACUUCCCAAUACAUAAAAUCCUUCAAAACAAGAAUGAUAAUAAUUUUUAUACUUUUUAUAAAAAUAAAUUUAUUUUUAGUCCAUCAAGGUGUCUGAAGAUUUUAUGCCUAGGUAUCUCCAUAUCUAACUUGAUAAGGAAAAUAGGAUAAACAAUGCUGGUAAUAGCAGGAAAGUAAGUAUUUGAAUAAGAUGUCAAACUGAUAUUUCAUGUGAACCUAACUCAUUUUAUGGUAACUAAUAAUUAUCUUAUUUAAAUCAAUAGGUAAAACCUGUUUAGAAAUUAAAAAUGAGUUACGAUUUAAAGAAAAUUCAGAUGACUCAUUGUGAGUGCUAGUUCUCUUGUAGGAUGCCACUGGAAAUGUUGAAAUGAAAAAUGUAAGUAUAUCUUUUGGUGGAAAAAAGGAUAGUCUCUAGGACACAAAAUUACUGUUUUAUUUUUUUCUCAGGAGUUUGCCUAAGGGUGUGACAGAUGAUCUCUGUCACUUGUCUUAGUUGUGUCCUGCAAUAAACUGGAUGCUUUAUAAAAUACUAGACCUGUGAUUUCGUAUGCUGUAAUAUUUCAUUUCUCCAUCACCCCUCCAAAUUAUUUCUUAGUUUGGAGUAAAAUAAUAAAUGUAUUAUAGUCAACAUCUCUUGACCCCUCUUUAGUUUCAGCUAAACUAAGCAUGUGUGUUUGUGUGUUCAUUUUAUAGUUCAUGUGUAGAACUAUGUGAAUUAAAUUUAAGAAACAUGUAAAGUAGAGGAAAUAGUUUUCUGGAGAAAUUUUUCCUUUUUGGAUAUUAUGCCCUUUUCCAUUGCUUUUCUCUGCUUGAAAGCAAAAAAAAGUACCCUACCCCUGUUCUCCUUUAGGGAAAAACUAUUCCUAUAAAGUAUUUUUAAAUCGUGCAAGUCAUUGCCUAGGGUUAGCUAAAACAUUUCUUUUUAAAAAGGAGAAAAUGCCCUGGCUUUAACAUUUUCUUGUAUUUGUAUCUAUUAAGAUAAACAGUUUACUUUGAUACAGUACAUACCAAUCUACUUAAUUUUUUUUCCAGGAUUCCUUUUACUAUGUUUGGUCUGACCUUUUAUGAUAACUUAAUAUGGGAACAAAUUAGCAUAUAAUUCUAUUUUCCAUGUGACCUCAACCAGUUGCAGAAUUGUACCACUACUUUAGGGGGGGCAAUUUGACAGUUUAUGUAGACUAUAGCAUUAAUUGUUCCCAAAUGUUCAGUGCAUCCUGGCUAAUGUGUUAUUGAAGGUGUUUUCACGUAAGCAGUUAGAGGAAGCACUUCACCCCUAUUACUAAGUUAUUAAAAUGCCUCCUAAAGGUAGCAUUUUAAAUUAGUAUACAUAAUUGAUUAGUAAUUUGUCUUCUCCCAAGCAUAAAACAGCAUAGCAGAGUUAAGUGUGACCAGUGAAGUAUAAGAUAUUAGGGAU